rnacentral:sRNA from 1 species
CUAUCUCGAUUCUUACUUGAUCUAAUCUACCCAAAAGAUCAAACCCGACUAAAAAUAACUAAGCCCUAAUUCUCUUCUCUGUUUCUUAUCACUAACUCGUGAAGACGAAGAGAACUACACACUCACCUCCAAGCU